UGGAUCACCUCCUAACAGGGAGACAAACAAUGAUUUUGAUGCCUGAGUAUUCUUAUUCUUAGGCCGAAAUCCUGUCACCUUAGGUCGAUCGGUACCUCAACUUCAAUCCUGUGAGUCGCAAGACUGCACAACGAUUGAUUUUUAGUUCCUAAACGUUGUCUAGGUCACCCCAUAGAGGGUCCACUUCCUGGACCAUUAGCUCAGGUGGUUAGAGCGCACCCCUGAUAAGGGUGAGGUCCCUGGUUCAAGUCCAGGAUGGCCCAUUCGGUGUUGGGGGUUUAGCUCAGUUGGUAGAGCGCCUGCUUUGCAAGCAGGAUGUCAGGAGUUCGAGUCUCCUAACCUCCACUGACCGAUCUCAAUCCUCAAUGUCCAGUCAUGGAGUUUUGAGUUCAGUUGGAGUGUGAUUUAGAUGUGUCCGCUAGAGGAACCCAGCUUCCUGUCAUUCCGGCGAUAGAGAGAAAUCUAUCGAUGGUUGAUAAGAUGCUGGGCUCGAAUCAGGUGAUCAAGCAAUUGAUGAUUUGAUUUGAAGUCUGGCAGAACCUUGACAACUGCAUAGGUGAGUCUGGAGAGAAUAAAGCAUCUCAUGGAUGAUGCGAUGACUCUGAAUGAUGACCCGAAAGGGUGAUGAUGAGGAGUGAUUGCAAAUUCUAUCGAGCAAGAGCCGAGACUCCAUCACGUUCUUCUGAUUGUGUCGAGCAAUGAGGAGUUAGAUUUUUGAUUCAGCAAUGAAUCAGAGAGAAUCUGUUUCAACGACAGCAAGCGUGUUGGAGAUACAUUGGUCAAGCUACAAAGGGCUCACGGUGGAUACCUUGGCACACAGAGGCGAUGAAGG
rnacentral:tRNA from 1 species